GCAUUACUGUACCAGAGGCCCUACUGAGUACUAAUCUACAAUAGCACCAGAACAACUAUUAGCAUAAUCUUCCUCCAAAAUUGAUUAAAUAUACAAAAUUCAAUCCAUAAUUCCAUCUACCUUGAAGAAAUUUUAUUUACUGUGUCAAUUUCCCACUGUAUACAGCAUAAAAAUCACGAAAUCAGUCACCUAAUGCUACAUUGGUGCAAGAUGAAGUUGUCCAAAAUUGUUAUGCACAUAAUAUUGUCCUUAUCUUCAUAUUUAUAAAUGCUCCACUGCAUGGAAUAAAAGCAAUCAUAUUUCAAGUCACCAGCCAAGUUGAAACUGAUAUGUUGUCAUAUAUUUGAUGUUUCUUCCUUUAAUUAUCUGGAUCUCCAUCAAUAGUAGUUGGUGUAGCCACA
rnacentral:misc_RNA from 1 species